UGCGCGCGAGUUUGAGGAGGUCCACGGGCACCACGGCCCCGGGACAGCGCUUCUCCAGGAACUCUUGGAAGCCCUGGACGCCCAUGCUUCGUCGGUGGGCAGACGAGACGGCGGCUGCGCGAGCAGGGGUGAAGCCUCUUCCUUCCACCUCCGGGAGCCAUGUUGCCUCGUCUUCUCUAUGAUCUAUUGGUGGCAGUUAAGUUUACUAAAGGUUGCAGGAUCAAGAGGAGUCACAUUUAGGUUGUCACUGAAGUAGAUGAGGAAGGGGCAUGUCUAUGCCAUGCCAUUGCUUCUGGAUGCAGAAGUUGCAUGUGACUUGCAUUUAUCCGUGGAUUCUGUUAGCACCCCUUUUCUACCACCUUCUCUACCUUAUCCUCAUGGUUGCAGCAGGAGCCAUCCUUUAUGUACCUUCACAGAGAAUUUGGGAUUGAGCUGGAGAAGAGAUGAAAAAUCCUGGCUGCAUUCAAGCACCUGAUUUAUUUGUUCCUAAGGUCCAUCUGCAUUAUCCCUGGGUUUUGUGAGACACCACCAUCUUUAUAAUAAAUUCCUCUUUUUGUUUAA